rnacentral:rRNA from 1 species
CCCUUAGACGUUCUGGGCCGCACGCGCGCUACACUGACCAGUGCAACAAGCAUCCGUCCUUGGCCGCCAGGCCCGGGCAAUCUUUGAACGCUGGUCGUGAUGGGGAUAGACUUUUGCAAUUUUUGGUCUUCAACGAGGAAUUCCUAGUAAACGCAAGUCAUCAACUUGCAUUGAUUACGUCCCUGCCCUUUGUACACACCGCCCGUCGCACCUACCGAUUGAAUGGUCCGGUGAAGCCUCCGGAUUGGCGCGCACCUCGGUGCCGCCGAGAAGUUGGCUAAACCUUACCAUUUAGAGGAAGGUGAAGUCGUAACA